AUACGUAGGUGGCAAGCGUUAUCCGGAUUUACUGGGUGUAAAGGGCGCGUAGGCGGGGGUGCAAGUCAGAUGUGAAAUCUAUGGGCUUAACUCAUAAACUGCAUUUGAAACUGUAUCUCUUGAGUGCUGGAGAGGUAGACGGAAUUCCUUGUGUAGCGGUGAAAUGCGUAGAUAUAAGGAAGAACACCAGUGGCGAAGGCGGUCUACUGGACAGUAACUGACGCUGAGGCGCGAAAGCGUGGGGAGCAAACAGGAUUAGAUACCCUGGUAGUCCGCGCCGUAAACGAUGAAUACUAGGUGUAGGGGGUAUCGACUCCCUCUGUGCCGCAGGUAACACAUUAAGUAUUCCACCUGGGGAGUACGGCCGCAAGGUUGAAACUCAAAUGAAUUGACGGGG
rnacentral:rRNA from 1 species